AUUGAACGCUGGCGGCAUGCUUUACACAUGCAAGUCGAACGGUAACAGGGAGCUUGCUCCGCUGACGAGUGGCGAACGGGUGAGUAAUGUAUCGGAACGUACCCAAGAGUGGGGGAUAACGUAGCGAAAGUUACGCUAAUACCGCAUACGAUCCAAGGAUGAAAGCAGGGGACCUUCGGGCCUUGUGCUCCUGGAGCGGCCGAUAUCUGAUUAGCUAGUUGGUGAGGUAAAGGCUCACCAAGGCGACGAUCAGUAGCUGGUCUGAGAGGACGACCAGCCACACUGGGACUGAGACACGGCCCAGACUCCUACGGGAGGCAGCAGUGGGGAAUUUUGGACAAUGGGGGCAACCCUGAUCCAGCAAUGCCGCGUGAGUGAAGAAGGCCUUCGGGUUGUAAAGCUCUUUUGUCAGGGAAGAAACGGUUUCGGCUAAUAUCCGGAGCUAAUGAUGGUACCUGAAGAAUAAGCACCGGCUAACUACGUGCCAGCCGCCGCAGUAAUAC
rnacentral:rRNA from 1 species